CCUGCCCGAGCCUGGGCAUCCCUGAUUCCGGGCGCUGGUAGGUUCAUUCCCGAGACUUCGGAAAACGGGAAUAGACAAAUAGCUAGGGUGGUCAUCAUCUUGGUUAGCGUGACGCCACAGAGCCACAGAUUCAAUUAGGCUGGAAAAAACCUCUGUGAUCGUCAGCUAUGAGCAGCCUUGCCGAGUAGAGCACGGCCCUGACACCACAUCCAGUCCUCUGUCAAACACCUCCGGGGACGUGGCUGCACCUCCUCCCUGCGCAGCCCGUUGCCACGGCUAAUUUUUCACGUCUCUGUGAAAAAUCUCAUCCUGACAUCCUGCCGGAGCCUCCCCUGGUGCAGCUUCAGACUGACAGACUAACAGACUGACAGACCCUUGUCCUGUCGCUGUGCCCGGAGAAGAGGCCGACCCGCACCUGGCUGCGCCUCCUUUCAGGUGGCUGUGGACAGCGACGAGGUCACCCCUGAGCUCCUGUUCUCCAGGCUGGAAAUAAAGACAUACAUUUUUUCCCCCCACCAAUUUCCUCAGCAGAGCUCAGCAGGAUGGGGUUUUUUUACCUUUCCAGGCCUCUUCUGUCACCUAGAGGAAGGUAACAGAGCUGCUGGCUGCAUCACAACCAGCUGAUGGAUGCUGUGGUAUUAUGGUCUCCUGAUUAAGGAUCUGCCACAGUCUCCUUGGCUCCUGCUGAAGCAGCAUAUGGACACAAACUUGGGCUUCAUAUCAACAGAAAGACAAGCCAUUCAGCUGGGACCUGAGAGCUCAAAAGUGUUUCAGCUCUCCAGUCAAAGAGUGGCUGAAAUCUGAAUUUAAAUCUGCAGCUCCAAAUGUGCCAGGGAGCAAGCUGUCAGCUGCUCUGGAUGUGUAAUGCUUCCAGGUCCUUCUUGUUUACAGAGUUUGUACUUUGGGUAAGCUUAUAUCUCUUCUGCCAGCUACAUCAAAAGAAAAACUCCAUUGUACUUCUGCUUUUGCCUUGUAAUAGAUUUAUAGUGUUAGUUGAAGAGAAAAGAACUGUUUAGAUUAAAUUUACAGUGCUGCUGAAAAUCAGGAAUGUCUAUUUAAUUAAAAUAUAUAUCUAUUCAAUAAAAUAUGAGUAAAUGUGUUAUAAUGUGUAGCUGAAACCACAAUUCUUCUGCAUGACAUUUUUGGGACAUAGAGGAGGGGUAUUUCCUUUUAAUACUUCAGCUUGUUUUUUAGCAUGGCAUCAUGCACUGCUGAUGCAUACCUUGAAAGAGUAUUGUUUUUAAGUGUGCUCUUUUUUGUGGGCUUUUUUGUCAUUUCAUGAUGAAAAGCUGCAUAGUUAUGAUAACAACAUACUACCAUCAUUUUACAUGUUUUCUGCACAACAUUCCUUUAUUGGAUGAAGGCUGUUAGACUGGCAUUUUUUGAAUAAUGGUGUGCCAUGUGGUCUCCUCCUGUUUUGGAGGGAAGUCUCAAUUUUGUCUUUGGAACCCUGCUUCAAGGAAACCUGGAAACAAAAAUAGAUCAUACCAAAACAUACACUGGCAUGAAAUUUUUUCUGGAACUAAACCUGUGAAACUGUUUUGAAAUGCCUUGUUCAACAAAUGUACUGCAUGCAUGUCUAAUAUAUGUGGAUGUAAGGAACCUGGUAGGUAAUUUGCCUUCUGUAUAGAAGCAGAGAUGUCUACUGAUCAAGUGCAUAGCAUUUUCCCUUCCCUUUCCCCAUAUAUUUUAUUUCUAUAUGUAGAAAAAUAGGAAUAAAAGAGGCUCAUCAAUUACUUUUCUGAAACAAAAUAGAACUAAAAGACCUCCAAGCAACAAAGUCAGCUUGUGCUCUUAAAUAUCCAGCAUUUUGCCUAUACUGAGUUAUCAAUCUACACGGUCUUGGAUACACAGAAAUUGGUAUCUGAGUGCUAACAAAUCUCGAAGUGCCUGACGGGAAAGAGAAAAAUAUUACACUGCAAUUGUUGUUCAGUUUUGUAGUAAUUAACUAGAAUGAUGUCUCUAAAAAUUUUUGCAGCUUACUCGUAGGUAUAUUCCUGUAUUGCAAAGACAUUAAUAGGUUCAUUGUUUUACUCAUGGAAGGCUUAAGUAUAACAGCCUGCACCUUCAGACUUUGCUGAAACCCUAGUGAGCCCAGAGAGGCAGUGUAACUCAGGUGUUACACUCCUGCAAAAUUCACUUGUCUUAAAGCCAAAUGGGUUCUUAAUGCUAAAAAUUAUUUGCAAGGAUGAUGAAAGUGCACCUAACUUCAUGGUCCCUAUUCCAAAGCCCUUCUUGUUGCCACCAAUACUUGGCACUGCACACUUCGUGUAAGCUGGGCUGUCAGUCUGUCUCUGGGCUGCCGGAAAGUCCUUGCUGUGCUGGGUUCCUUUAGGUCAUUUUCAAGUCAAUCUCCCAUUUGUGCUAUUGCUGCUCAUGGGGAACCUGCUGCCUUGCUUUUACUGCCUUCUUCUCACAAUAACUCCUAUCACCCAUAUUUCUUCUUACCCUCUUGAGCAGAGGUAGUUGAUGGCAAAAACUUUUAUUUUCUUUCUAGUCCCUAUCUUCAUAUUCUUUUGCAUGUAGCUUGUCUGCUUCUAUCACAUAGCUGUCUUCUAGAGCUGAGCCUCUUCUGCUAUCUUUAAUGUAUAACCAUUCCAAAUGACCUGCAUUCCAGUGCAACUUGAAUAUUAUACUGCUGGAUUAAGGAGCCUUAAUGAGUUCAUGGAAUCAUAUUGUCUUGUGCAUAAUUUAUUUUAAUUGGAAUCCAUGACAGAAGAUGAACACAGGGCAGCUAAUGUUGAUUUUCCUGUCAACUUUGAAGCCUCCAUUUGCAAACUACUUAAGUGUUCUUUUUUGCAUACAGCAGUGCUGAAGAAACUUAUGCACUGGGUAUAGCCAAAAGGCCUUUUACAUAUUACACAUUUUAGGAAGAUCCAUUAACAUAUUUAUAUGGAAAUUCAGAAAUCAUUUUCUAGAGUAGAAGAUUAUGCCAAGAUAUUUGAAGACUUGUCGAGUCAACCUCAACUUCUUAAUUUCACAAAAUUGGUUCUCCAUUGGCCUGUAUAAAUCCUACACUGUUUUUAGAGCCAGCUCUAAAUGUGUGAGUGUUACUACCUAAAUGCCCUCAUAGAUUCAGUUGCAAAUUACUGUUCAAGGGAAAAAGAGAUAAAGGCUCAUGAGGUAAAAUCAUUAAUUAUGUUGGGUGCACCUGUUGGACUUCACUUGUAGAAAGCCAAAUUCAAUACUGUUUUGACCAUAGAUUCAGGAUUGCAAAUACAUAACAGCUGAAAAAGGAGAGGGACAGCUUAAAUUAGCAGCUAAAGCUUUAUAAGAGGCCAAGUAUUAGAUAAUAGCAAAUACUGCAAGUUAGGAUGGAGGUUUAAUAUCAGAAUUGGGCUAUGACUUCAGUAGCUAUGCCACAGGGAAUAAGGAUAAAUGAAAUUGAAGAGCAUGAGUAAGCAAGUCUGGAGAUUCCACAACUUGAUAAGCAGGAGGCAACAGAUGAGAACUGAAGCAGUGCAGCAGAUGUAGGCUGAGGAAGAGCCUCUGGACCCCUCACCAGAAGACCAGAGACUGCUGUGAAUUUCUUUAAGAUGCAUUAUUAGAAAGUAGUUUUGUAACACCUGCAAGUGAGAAGUACCAGUUGCUAUGGCUUACAUUUCAAGUUUCAAUUUUAAGAUUUUUAAUCUAUCCUUUUUGAUGGAAGAGGAGGUGAUUUCAGUCUUAAAAUUGCUAAACUGGUUGUUGCUGCUCCUGUCUAGUAGCAACAAUGGAAUACAGAACCUUGUAUUAUCUUACUAUUUAUUUUAUUUUCUUUUAUUUUUCAUAUAAACCUUCUUAGAAAUAGAAAUAGAAAUAGAAAUAGAAAUAGAAAAACUGACUUUAGCUUUCACUGUCCCUGUUUGGAAAGUUUGGUCAAAGGCGUAUGGCAGAACUGUGCAAUAUCCUCUGAACUAAAAUAGCUGUCUGUUAGAGUGGUUGAACUGCUCUUUUCUCUUACAGAGGGAAUACUUCUUACAUAGGUUACAUUUGCUUCAGUAUCCACAGACAGUAAAAUCAUCCAUCUUUUUUAUUUUAAAAACAAAAUAAGUAGUCAUUAAAUUUACCUGUUAAAUUUACCUGUUUUACAAGAAACCAAGAUGCAAGAUAUUUUGACAGAUGUGACAUUAACUACAUAUGAAAUGGUGCCAUGUAGGUUUCUCUUUAGUGUCAUUCCAGAUGAAAACAUAUGGAAGAGGUUUUUAUUAUUAUUUUUGAAACACAUAAUUUUUAUCCCAAACCUGGAUAAGGUUUUUCGCCCUAAGAAAUUUGCAGAUGUCAGCUGAUGGACAACUACUCAUAACAUUAUUUUCUCAUGUUUGUUAGCAUCAAUUUUCCAUUAAUAAAAGACACUCUGAACAUCCUUGGGAAAUUUAUCACUCUCUGUUUUUUUGUUGUGGAUGUAUUUGUAAUGUGUGUUAAACAUGAUGUGGAGUAAUAGAGUUUGUUUAAACUGAUCAGUACCUCUCCACAAUCUUCUAUUUUAUGGUCUGAAUGUAAGACAGACCAAAUUAGUCACUUUACAAAACCAAAAGCCUUCUGUAGUUUGUUUAUGUGUGAAGUCUGUGCCUGUCUUGCCUGCUACCCAUCUCUUUUAGACUGGCCAGCUACCAGAUUUCACCAAGUAAAGGAUCUUGUUUCAGCUAUUUUGUGAAUGCUAUUUCAGUUGUAACAAUAGUGAUUAAGCUCUUUUCAGAACAGAAGAAAACAGCCUCUUCCUCACUGGCUAUGCAGCCCUUUUCUCACUAGAAUAGUAUUUAGGACAUUAGCAACCUUGGGUAUUAAUGUAUGCUAGUCAGCUAAAUAAAGCUUGUCUUUUAUAAUGGAUUUUAGACCACCUAAGUUUUCAGUUACAUGAUAUGCUGAUU